GGAAUAUUGCGCAAUGGAGGAAACUCUGACGCAGUGACGCCGCGUGCAGGAAGAAGGUUUUCGGAUUGUAAACUGCUUUAGACAGGGAAGAAACAAGACAGUACCUGUAGAAUAAGCUCCGGCUAACUACGUGCCAGCAGCCGCGGUAAUACGUAGGGAGCGAGCGUUAUCCGGAUUUAUUGGGUGUAAAGGGUGCGUAGACGGGAAAUUAAGUUAGUUGUGAAAUCCCUCGGCUUAACUGAGGAACUGCAACUAAAACUGAUUUUCUUGAGUGCUGGAGAGGAAAGUGGAAUUCCUAGUGUAGCGGUGAAAUGCGUAGAUAUUAGGAGGAACACCAGUGGCGAAGGCGACUUUCUGGACAGUAACUGACGUUGAGGCACGAAAGUGUGGGGAGCAAACA
rnacentral:rRNA from 1 species